rnacentral:rRNA from 1 species
GAUAAACGCUGGCGGCGCACAUAAGACAUGCAAGUUGAACGGACUUAAUCGAAAUAUUUAUAUUUUGAAGCGGUUAGUGGCGGACUGGUGAGUAACGCGUAAGGAACCUGCCUAUUAGAGGGGAAUAACAGUGAGAAAUCAUUGCUAAUACCGCAUAUGCCAUAGAUAUCACAUGAUAAUAGAGGGCAAGGAGCAAUCCGCUAAUAGAUGGCCUUGCGUCUGAUUAGAUAGUUGGUGGGGUAACGGCCUACCAAGUCGACGAUCAGUAGCCGGACUGAGAGGUUGAACGGCCACAUUGGGACUGAGGUACGGCCCAGACUCCUACGGGAGGCAGCAGUCGGGAAUAUUGCGCAAUGGAGGAAACUCCGACGCAGUGACGCCGCGUAUAGGAAGAAGGUUUUCGAAUUGUAAACUAGUGUCGUUAGGGGAGAGAAAGGACAGUACCUAAGGAGGAAGCUCCGGCUAACUACGUG